AAAAAUUCGUUUUUCAAUAUUAUCUAUGAAUAUCUUGAUAAGAUUUUAUUAUUAUUAAAUAGUAAUCAUUACAAAAAAAUUGGAAAAACUAAAAUCAGAAAUACAACCCAACUAAAGGAAAAAUCAUCAGCUAAUUUUCAAAGAAAAAAAAUUGAUAUGAACUUAGAUCAAUGUUCAAACUAUAAUUGCUUCAUGUUGAAGUGUUCUACGAAACACAUAUGUUUUAUUCCAUGUUUUUUCCCUUUCAUCGUCUUGAUUUCCUUCAUCUUUUCUUUUCUUGGUGGAAAUGAUAUCCUUCAUCUUCUGAGUAUGAAAACAAAAAUAACAGAGAAAAAUAAGAGUAAUGCUUGAUAAAAUUAAUAAUUUACAUUAUAGAGAAACAAAGAAAACAUAUUUACCUUCAAAGGUUUUAGAAGAUUAAGUGACUGAUAUGACUAUGCGUUGGAGAUAUCUUGAUUCACCAAAAGUUGGAGACUUGGAGAAGAAGAGAUAACUCCCAAAGCUUUUUUCUUUUUCUUCUGUAUAUGUCGAUCUAGGCAAAAAGAGUAUACUGAAAAAAA
rnacentral:lncRNA from 1 species